rnacentral:rRNA from 1 species
UACGUAGGGUGCGAGCGUUGUCCGGAAUUACUGGGCGUAAAGGGCUCGUAGGCGGCCAACUAAGUCACACGUGAAAUCCCCAGGCUUAACCUGGGAACUGCGUGUGAUACUGAAGAUCUUGAGUCCGGGAGAGGUGAGUGGAACUGCGAGUGUAGAGGUGAAAUUCGUAGAUAUUCGCAAGAACACCAGUGGCGAAGGCGGCUCACUGGCCCGGUACUGACGCUGAGGCACGAAAGCGUGGGGAGCAAACAGG